AUGUUGACCUCGGAUCAGGUAGGGAUACCCGCUGAACUUAAGCAUAUCAAUAAGCGGAGGAA
rnacentral:rRNA from 1 species